ACAGACUUGUUUCAGAGGAUCAAAGAACUCCAUGAAAUUAUCUACAAAAUGUUUUGUGUAUGAGUAUCACCAUAAGAAGAUGUUCCAUUGCUUUUGUUAGAUUGUCAGAGUGAACCAUGACCCUUCUUUCAAAUGGUGAUAAAAACUUCUGCUGAGCUCCUCUAUAGAGCACCCCUCCCCCUAGGCUGGUUGGCUGGAUACAGAGUGCCCAGUGGAGGACUCCGAGCCUAAGGGAUUGGUGAGCUUCUGGAUGAGGAGCCUGGUUCCAGAGUCACUGCUAGGAGUGGGGAUUUCUCCAGUCCCACAGGAAACGUUUAUUGGACUGUGAUGUGAGCAAGAAAUAAAUUACUAUGUUGUUAAGCUAUU